rnacentral:lncRNA from 1 species
CCGUGCCUCAGUUUCCCCGCAGCGCUGCCCGGGCAGGGCUGGGCUGGGUUCCCCGCUGAUGCCGCUCUCGCUGCCCGCAGGGACGGCGCUGAGCACCACAUGAGUGCGGCAGCAGCAUGGCCAGCGACGCGAGGAUGGGGGAGAGCCCGGCGCGCUGGAGAAGAGCGGCGGAGGCAGCGCAGGACUCGCGGGGGAUGGAGAGCAGCGCCAUGCUUCUAUCCCGGAGCGCCGGGGCCGAGCUGGGACUCCCGGCCUACCCAGAGCCCGGCAAGCUGAGCUACACCCUGGAGAAAGGCUGGAGGAGCUCCGAGGGGUGUUUGGGAGCCGGUGCCCACCUGGGCUGCCCCUACCCCCGGGGCGCCAAGGACGGAGCGGAGCUGCCCCCGCUGCUGCCCCCUCGGAACGGGCAGCCCAAGGGGGGCUGGGGGGAGCCCUGCAAGGAGCCGCGCUGGGCCGAGGCCGUGCUGGCCCCGCUGGCGCUCUACAGCCACUCGUACCACCGCUACCACCCCCUGGCAGUGCCCGGCAAACCCCGCGAUGCGGCCGGAGAGCCCCCGGCCCCCUUCCAGCACUGCCCUUUCCUCGUGGAGGCCAAGCACAGCCCCUUCCUGCUCUCCUCGCUGCUGCCCGGCGCGCCCCAGGCCGAGCCCGCGUUCGAGGGGCCGGGCCCGGUGGGGAACGGGCGCUUCGCCGGCCCGGAGUGGAGUCUGGGCUCCUACGGGCCCGCCUGGGGCCAGCCCCUCUACCUGGGGGUCCCGCCGCGGUGCAAGGCGGCUCUGCCCCCCUUCGACGGCUGCUCCAGCUCAGGGAACAAGGAGUUUUACGCCAAGAAAGGCGCCGGGUUCCACGCCUCGAGCAAGAACCACGCGGCGCCGCCGCUGCUGGGCAGGAGCCAAGCGGGGCCGGAGCGGGCCGGGCAGGGGGAGCCGGCGCUGCCGGAGCUGCCGGGAGCCCCGUGGGGGGAUGGCCGGGCCGGGGGCAGCUCGGCGGUGCCCCCUCCCCAUCCCCGCACGCCGCCCCCCGGCUCCAGCCGCCCCCUGCUCCUCCUGCAGCCCGGCCCCUGGGUGGGCUCACGGCCGCACGGCGCUGAGUUUUCCAUGGACACGGGGCCGGGACGACCCUCAGAGCCCAAAGAUGCCCCCAAAGAGCCCAAUCCCUCGGCGGUGCUGGCGGACGGGCACUACCCAGCGGCUCUGGCCAAACCUGAACCCCCCUCGGGCUGUCUGUGCCCCACCCCGGGCUGCCAUGGGUGCCCGGGGGUGCCCUUCGAGCCCACCUUGGGGCGCUUUCCGUGCCCACCCAGCAACCACACCAAGCUGAAGAAGACGUGGCUGACGCGGCACUCGGAGCAGUCGCUGCCCCGCUCCAAAGCCCCGCGGCGGGACGGGGGUCCCGAGCCCCCCGGCGAGGGAAAGCGCUCGGCCAAACGCCCCCACGGCCCCGCCGAGGGUCCCCGCACUGCCAGCGAGGGCGCAGCGGCGGCCAAAAGGGGCUCCAAGACCACGGGGGACAGCGAGGAGAGGAGGAUGGAGCUGGGGGAGGAAGAGCCGCCGAGCCGCUGGUGCCUGCAGAGCCUGCCCUGCACGGCGCUGCCCCCCAGCAUCCCCCGCUGCUGGGCCUGCGCCCCCCGCGCCCGGAGGGACCCCCAGGGUGAGGAGGAGGAGGAGGAGGAGGAGGAAGAGCACCCCGAGAGCAGCUGCAGGCUGCUGCACUUCCGCAGGUGAGUCCGGGGGGAGAUCACAGGGUUGGGGCAUCCAGCAGGACGUGUCAGGGGGCGGCGGAGCAGCUCCUUCUUUGGAAUGUCCCUUUUGUCACCCUGCUUUGGAAUGUCCCCUUCUAUCACCCCUUGUCACCCUUCCUUUCCAGUGUCACCCAACUGUUAGAGCAUCCCCUCCUGAAAGGACAUUCCUUCCUGUCACCCCACUUUGGGACACCCUCACAUGUCACCCUGCUUCACAACA